rnacentral:lncRNA from 1 species
UCUUAACUUCUUCUGUCGAUUUCAUCCACCCUGUGGUUUCAGGUAUCGCCCCUUCAUAGGUUAAGAGACCCGGGAUGUGUCUCUGGCCCCUCCUUUUGUGUCGUGCUCUCCUGCCAAUCUCCCUCCUGUUGCCAGAAGUCAUUCCACCUCACCUUUUAUGGAGACUGCAGCACGUGCAGCAUGACAUCACAUUGUCAUCACAGCUGAAACAACCCAAUUGCUGAUCUGCG